rnacentral:rRNA from 1 species
UGGGGAAUAUUGCACAAUGGGCGCAAGCCUGAUGCAGCCAUGCCGCGUGUAUGAAGAAGGCCUUCGGGUUGUAAAGUACUUUCAGCGAGGAGGAAGGCGUUGUGGUUAAUAACCGCAGCGAUUGACGUUACUCGCAGAAGAAGCACCGGCUAACUCCGUGCCAGCAGCCGCGGUAAUACGGAGGGUGCAAGCGUUAAUCGGAAUUACUGGGCGUAAAGCGCACGCAGGCGGUCUGUCAAGUCGGAUGUGAAAUCCCCGGGCUCAACCUGGGAACUGCAUCCGAAACUGGCAGGCUAGAGUCUUGUAGAGGGGGGUAGAAUUCCAGGUGUAGCGGUGAAAUGCGUAGAGAUCGGGAGGAAUACCGGUGGCGAAGGCGGCCCCCUGGACAAAGACUGACGCUCAGGUGCGAAAGCGUGGGGAGCAAACA